UUGUGACCUUACCAUAUUGUUGCUUCGGCGGGACCGCCCCGGCGCCUUCGGGCCCGGAACCAGGCGCCCGCCGGAGGCCCCAAACUCUUAUGUCUUUAGUGGUUUUCUCCUCUGAGUGACACAUAAACAAAUAAAUAAAAACUUUCAACAACGGAUCUCUUGGUUCUGGCAUCGAUGAAGAACGCAGCGAAAUGCGAUAAGUAAUGUGAAUUGCAGAAUUCAGUGAAUCAUCGAAUCUUUGAACGCACAUUGCGCCCGCCAGUAUUCUGGCGGGCAUGCCUGUUCGAGCGUCAUUUCAACCCUCAGGCCCCCAGUGCCUGGUGUUGGGGAUCGGCCCAGCCUUCUCGCAAGGCCGCCGGCCCCGAAAUCUAGUGGCGGUCUCGCUGUAGUCCUCCUCUGCGUAGUAGCACAACCUCGCAGUUGGAACGCGGCGGUGGCCAUGCCGUUAAACACCCCACUUCUGAAAGUUGACCUCGGAUCAGGUAGGAAUACCCGCUGAACUUAAGCAUAUCAUAA
rnacentral:rRNA from 1 species